GAUGAACGCUGGCGGCGUGCCUAAUACAUGCAAGUCGAGCGAACAGACUUGGAGCUUGCUCCUCUGUCGAUAGCGGCGGACGGGUGAGUAACACGUGGAUAAUCUCCCUAUCAGCCUGGGAUAACUUCGGGAAACCGGAGCUAAUACCGCAUAAUAUCUUUAAACGUAUGGUUUAAUAUUGAAAGACGGUUUUGCUGUCUCUAAUAGAUGUAUCCCGGCCUAUUUGGCUGGUUGUUAAGUUAACGGCUUCCCAAGGGAACGAUGGGUAGCCGACGGGAGAGGGGGAUAGGCCACACGGGAAGGGAGACAGGGACAAGAGGCCUCAGGGAGGGAGAAGAAGGAAAACUUAGGAAAUGGGGGAAAGCCUGACGGAGAAAGGCGGCGUGAGGGAUGAAGGUCUUGGGAUCGAAAAACUCGGUUAUUGGGGAAAAACAAAUGGGGAAGGGAAUGUGCACGUAGUGACGGUACCUAAUCAGAAAGCCACGGCUAACUACGUG
rnacentral:rRNA from 1 species